UAUUGUGGAACUAGGAUUCCUUGCACUGCAUUCUGAUGAAAGAUCAUCAAAGUUGUGUUUCCUAGUUUUUCCCGGUUCUGACCAUUCUGCCUGCCCUGACCACGAGCCUGCCUGCCGUCCUGUACCUGUCUGACUCUGACCACGAGCCUGCCUGCUGUCCUGUACCUGUCUGACUCUGACCUGAUUACGAACCUCUGCUUGCCCUCGGCCUGCCCCGUGUUUCUAAUAAAUAAUCUGAGAACUGUA